AGCCUGCCCAGUGACCCUGUUCAACGGCCGCGGUAUCCUAACCGUGCGAAGGUAGCGUAAUCAUUUGUUCUUUAAAUGAGGACUAGUAUGAAAGGCAUCACGAGGAUUGCACUGUCUCCUUUCCUUAAUCAGUGAAACUAAUCUUCCCGUGAAGAAGCGGGAAUACUACUAUAAGACGAGAAGACCCUAUGGAGCUUUAAACUAAAUAACACUUGCCCCUUAUUAUUUACUUCCAGAAUACCUAAUUCAUUUUUUGGCAUUAUGAUUUUUAGUUUUAGGUUGGGGUGACCGCGGAGAAAAAAAUAUCCUCCACAUUGAAAAAGAAAAUUUUCUUUAACUGAGAGCUACCACUUUAAGCAUCAAUAAAUUGACAUUUUUGACCCAAUACUUUGAUCAACGAACCAAGUUACCCUAGGGAUAACAGCGCAAUCCACUUUGAGAGCCCAUAUCGACAAGUGGGUUUACGACCUCGAUGUUGGAUCAGGGUGUCCCAGUGGCGCAGCCGCUACUAAAGGUUC
rnacentral:rRNA from 1 species